rnacentral:lncRNA from 1 species
GGGUUAAUAUGACUUGUUCUUCAGUUGUGAAACACAUCAUUAUCCAUUGACUGAGAUAUGCAGUGAAAGGAAUCCAAGCUGGCUGGGAAGAAAAUCACUUGGCCCCCCGAGAUAAAUGUGGUCAAGGAAUCCUGACUGACAACGUCAGCAAAAGCAGAAAGAUUUCGUUGCAGUUUCGGUAAAAACUUCCCUCAUCAAAUGAACUGAAAAAUAAUCCUUUCUCCAGCAUUUUCAGGAAGAGUUUGUGAAGGUUUGAUAUAUCUUCUGCAAAUAUCUGACAGAAUUCACCAACAAAGUUCAUCCAACUGGCCACUCAGGGCAGAGCUUGGGAAUCUCCAUCUUUCAUGCUGCCAUUGCAUUUAUUAUAAUCAUUUAUUUCCUUUACUCCAUAAGGAAGAAACUUCUUAUUCAUCUCUGUAUUUCUACCAAGCAGUGUAUAUU